CUAAAAUGAGUUGAGGAAUUGAUAUCAUUGGUUUCACACCGCUUAUAAAUUUAAAAUAUAAUCCUGGAAGAAGCCAUAAAAAAAAAAAAAAAUAGUUUUGAGAAAAUCAUGCUGAAGAAUAACAUUUGAAACCGUUGCAAAUUGCAAAUUGCAUGUAUUUCGGAGCGCAAAAUACACUGAAGGCACAGCAAAUUUAGCUUAUUCUUACUACGUAGUAAACGUGAGGCUCUCUUUCCAGAACUACCGGCUUCUAUAAAUGAUUAUGGAUAUUUUAUAAGAAGUCUUUACAUUAUUAUUUUUUCAUUAGUUGAUAAAAACAAGAAAAAAAUUCUUUAUAAAAAUAUUUGCAUUUUUUUUUUUCAGUUCAGUAGUCGGACAAUAAAUUAAUUUAACCUAACAUCUAUUUUGACAUUUUAUACAAUGAUGCAUACUCGUCUAAUACUGUUUACAUUAAAAUAAUAGGAAAAAAAAUGAUCAAAUUAAAUAUGCUGCUCUAAAUAAUUGGGGUGAGGAAAAUGACAUGUGUCUUGCACUUUAAUGUUGAUAAUUUUUUUUUUUUUUUAACCUGGGCUGAGAUCCGUGCGUGUUGCAAGUUAUGUGUGAGAAUCAGACUGAGAAUGUCAUGUUAGUUUAUACAGUCAUAGUCUACAGUCUGUCACUGAUAAAAUCAAAUUUGACAGUAGCACAAUAUAGAGGUUUAAUGGACAGCAAACACAGCACAUUUACAAAUAAUAACGCCACUGUUUAAUGACUGACGCAUUCAAAAAGCAAAUUAAGAUUUUUUUUUUCUUUCUUCCGGAUGGGAUAAGUGAUUAACUAUUUAAUACUAAUCGUGAUUAAUUUAAGGCAUGUAACAAAUGGAAAGCUACAACUCCUAUAGCAAAUUUGUGUAUUCUGUAAAUCAUUCAGGAAACACAAUUGUUACACAAAUAUUUAUAAAAAUAAUAAUUCUUGUGCAACUUAAAUAUUUAUGGAUUAUAUAGGAAAAAUCCAUUUAAUUUCGUUUACACCUUGUGUUAACAGACUAAAUCAGCAGGUAUCUAUUAAAAAAAAAUUUAUCUACAGAUUGAAUGCUUUGCAUUUCGGUGUAGUAUGUUAAAGAAUUAUACAAGCAGACAGAGUAUAAAUAAAAUAAUCAUAUAAAAAUAUUCUCUUACAAAAUAUAAUCUUUUUAUCCUAUGGUCAAUUUUUCCAAAAAAAAAAGCGUUUAAUUUUUUUUUUUUGUCUGGGUUUUUAAACUGACCCUCUAUGGAAUUCAAAUUGUUUAUUAAUAAUAAUAAUAAUAAUAAUAAUAAUAAUUAAAAAAAAAGCAAAACCAACAACCAGUAGACAGUUAAAUAUUGAGCUGAUAUUGAGAUUGAUUAUUCCAGACAACUAGCAGCAAACAGCAAUACAGUAUUCAAUAAAUGAUGCCUGCUUUUGGUCUUUAAACACCUAUAAAUGCCAGUAGUGUCCCAAUGUGUACAUCUAAAACUGAUAUCUUAUUAAUACAUACUAUAUACAUCCCCACAUAUUUCUCCUGGAAAGAAGAAUGUGUAAUCUAUUUUGCAGAAGUAUUGCAAACUGCAAUAGGUUUGUUCUGUUCUCUAAAAUAAAUUAUUAGUUUAUUAUAAAUUGUUAAAUAUUAAAGUCCCUGUGCCAAUAAUGACCGAG
rnacentral:lncRNA from 1 species